rnacentral:rRNA from 1 species
AGUGAACGCUGGCGGUAGGCCUAACACAUGCAAGUCGAACGGCAGCACAGUAAGAGCUUGCUCUUACGGGUGGCGAGUGGCGGACGGGUGAGGAAUACAUCGGAAUCUACUUUUUCGUGGGGGAUAACGUAGGGAAACUUACGCUAAUACCGCAUACGACCUACGGGUGAAAGCAGGGGAUCUUCGGACCUUGCGCGAUUGAAUGAGCCGAUGUCGGAUUAGCUAGUUGGCGGGGUAAAGGCCCACCAAGGCGACGAUCCGUAGCUGGUCUGAGAGGAUGAGCAGCCACACUGGAACUGAGACACGGUCCAGACUCCUACGGGAGGCAGCAGUGGGGAAUAUUGGACAAUGGGCGCAAGCCUGAUCCAGCCAUACCGCGUGGGUGAAGAAGGCCUUCGGGUUGUAAAGCCCUUUUGUUGGGAAAGAAAAGCAGCAGGUUAAUACCCCGCUGUUCUGACGGUACCCAAAGAAUAAGCACCGGCUAACCUCGUG